rnacentral:tRNA from 2 species
GCGCUCGUAGCUCAGUCGGUAGAGCAUCUGACUUUUAAUCAGAGGGCCCGGGAUUCGAGUUCCCGCGAGCGCACCA